rnacentral:lncRNA from 1 species
GGAAUACUUAUUUAUUAGUUCUAAUCAGUUACACAUGACAGUAGAAAGCUCUCACAAAUGGAGCAGAAUUUUUCACUUCUCUGAUUGUGCAUGGAGUCACACCAUUUGUACAGUCAUACAUGUACCUAGGGUAAUGAUGUCUGUCUCAUUCCACCAUCUUUCCUAUCCCUUUGCACCCUCCCCUGCUCCCUUUUGCCCCAUCCAAAGUUCCUCCACUUAUCCCAUGCUCCCCCUAUGAUUAGCAUCCACUUAUCAGAGAAAACAUUGGGCCCCCGGUUUUUUGAGAUUGGCUUAUUUCGCUUAGAAUGAUAUUCUCCAACUCCAUCCACAAAAUAGAAUAUUUUUAUAAAAAAGAAAAUUAUUAGAAUAAACACCAUUUCCUUGGUUCAUCACUUAACACCCAUGAAAUGACUGUAUUCAGAAUCUAUACUGGGGCUGGGGGUAGAGCUCAGUGGCAGAGCCCUUGCCUAGCAUGUGCAAAGCCCCAGAUUCCAUCCUCAACCCCACAAGAAUGAAUAACUUAAUUAAACAUAAAUAAUAAUAUAGACUUGGUUUGUUUGGGUUUUGUUUUGUUUUUGAGCCUUUCCUAGAAUCCACAAAAGGCCAAGAAGCUGCUUUAUGGCAUUUUGUUGUUGUUAUUUUUAUUUAUUUAUAUUUUUACUGGGGUAUAAGAUAGACAUAAAAAGUAUACAAGCAGUAAAUGUACAAUUUGAUGAAUAUUCAUGAGCUGAAGACCCUCAUGUACACAUUACUGUGAUUAUUAUGGGCACCCCAAAAGCACCCUAUUUCUUUCUUGUCACUCACUCUCCCCUCCCCUAGGAUAAUCAGUUUGACUCCUGACAGUGUAGUUUAGUAUUUUUGUGCAUGAUAAAAAAGUACUCUCACAAUACACCUUUUCAUAUCUGAUUUCUUUUACUCAAUACUGUGAUUCAUCCACGUUUUUGCACAUAGUUACAAAUUGUUCACCCUCACUGUGCAGAGCGUUCUACUGCUUAACUUUGCCACUGUUUAUUUAUUUAUCCUAUCAUUGAGGGGCAUUUGGGUAGUUGGUAUUUUAGAGCUCAUAAACAGGUCACUAUGAACACUCUUAAACAUAUCUUUUAGGGGGACAUUUGUACCCUUUUCCACCCAGGAGUAGAAUUAACGUAUUAACUUGCUUGACACAGAUAUGUGUAGCUCCAACAGAGGCUGCUAAUUUUUCUAGACAACAUACACUCCCAGCAGCAGUAAUGAGAAUUCUACUUGCUCGCCAUCCUCCCCAGCAUUUUAUAUUGUUCAUGUUAGUUUUUCUGGUAGAUGUACGAAAUCACACCAGAAGCUUGUUUUUAGAAGUACCAACUUCUUUCGGAAUUUUUUAAAGUUGGGUAGACUUCAAAUACCAAAAAGCUGAAACUAGGGAAGUGGAAAUUAAAGAGCACAUUGGUUUUUACAUAUAUCUUUUUGUACUAUUUGGGGUUCUUAUUAUGUGCACGUAUUAACUUGCAAAAAAAAUAUAUUUUCCUAUAUUCUUGAGGUUCAGAAGGUAGUGGGUGGAAAGAGUUUUGCUACUCAAAAAAAAAAUGUGUUAUUAGUUUUCACAGUCAACAGAGGGUUGUGUUGCUGGUAAUAAUCUUAACGUAGACUGAAGUUAUGUAACAGACCUCUGGAAAUACUUUACUGCACAAAACUUUCUAAUUUCAGCACUAAGCUAAAAGCCUCCUAAAUCCUCUUUAGAAGUACUGGACUAGUAAAACAUUCAUGUACAAUCAACAGGAAAUGGAAGCAAGAAGCAUUUGUGUUGGGUGGGGUGGGGGUCUUUGAUUUCAGCCUAGUAGUGGGUUUCUUAGGAAAUGCAAGCUCCUGUGUUUGCUGCUGGCAUCUAAGUUUCCCUGAUUGAGAAAACACAUUCUCAUCCUGCUUUCACCAGAUUUCCCAGGAGCUGCUGAUGGUCAUUUGUUUCCAUUUCUCCCUUCUUAUACCACAAACCAGCCUGAUGUGCUUUUCCCUGCAGGAUCUAGACCAAAUUAU